GUGCUCGCUUCAGCAGCACAUAUACUAAAAUUGGAAUGAUACAGAGAAGAUUAGUAUGGCCCCUGCGUAAGGAUGCAAAUUCGUGAAGUGUUCCAUAUUUAA